rnacentral:rRNA from 1 species
GUGGGGAAUAUUGGACAAUGGGCGAAAGCCUGAUCCAGCCAUGCCGCGUGUGUGAAGAAGGUCUUCGGAUUGUAAAGCACUUUAAGUUGGGAGGAAGGGCAGUAAGUUAAUACCUUGCUGUUUUGACGUUACCGACAGAAUAAGCACCGGCUAACUUCGUGCCAGCAGCCGCGGUAAUACGAAGGGUGCAAGCGUUAAUCGGAAUUACUGGGCGUACAGCGCGCGUAGGUGGUUUUGUAAGUUGGAGGUGAAAUCCCCGGGCUCAACCUGGGAACUGCCUCCAAAACUACUGAGCUAGAGUACGGUAGAGGGUAGUGGAAUUUCCUGUGUAGCGGUGAAAUGCGUAGAUAUAGGAAGGAACACCAGUGGCGAAGGCGACUACCUGGACUGAUACUGACACUGAGGUGCGAAAGCGUGGGGAGCAAACAGGAUUAGAAACCCGAGUAGUCC